rnacentral:rRNA from 1 species
UACGUAGGGGGCAAGCGUUGUCCGGAUUUAUUGGGCGUAAAGCGCGUGUAGGCGGCCAGAUAGGUCUGCUGUGAAAACUCGAGGCUCAACCUCGAGCUGUCGGCGGAAACCAUCUGGCUAGAGUCCGGAAGAGGAGAGUGGAAUUCAUGGUGUAGCAGUGAAAUGCGUAGAGAUCAUGAGGAAGACCAGUGGCGAAGGCGGGUCUCUGGACAGUUCCUGACACUGAGACACGAAGGCCAGGGGAGCAAACGGG